rnacentral:lncRNA from 1 species
AACCACAAUCCCACAUGGUCAUGCACGCAUGCACACACGUACACAUUCACUCUCAUAGAUAUGCACACACAGCCUCACACACACGCAGCCUCACACACAUGCAGCCUCACACACAUGCACCCCACACAUGUGCACACACACGCACACGCACACACACAGCUUCACAUGUGCACACACGCACAUGCACACACACACACACACACACACACACACACACACACACACACACACACAGGCGCGUUGCUUGCCAUGCUCAUAG